AGUGCCUGCGCUCUGGAGGUGUUCAGGAUGCUCACUUUAUUAUACUCGUUUGUAGACGUGGCCCGGUUUUGGAAGAACAUUGGCUUUGUGUCCCAAUAUGUGGAAACGGACUUCGCAGGAGCCAACUAUUUUAUUUAGCCAGAGUUGCCCAGCUGGGGCCAAUCACUGCUGCAGGACGCCAGGCUGAUUACAUGCUCGGCGAGGCCCACUGCAAAAUGAAAAUACAGGAACCCUCAUUCAAAAAG